CCUACGUGAUGCAGCAGUGGGGAAUAUUGCGCAAUGGGCGAAAGCCUGACGCAGCGACGCCGCGUGAGGGAUGAAGGUCUUCGGAUCGUAAACCUCUGUCAGCAGGGAAGAACGGUCACUGUGCUAAUCAGCAGUGAAUUGACGGUACCUGCAAAGGAAGCACCGGCUAACUCCGUGCCAGCAGCCGCGGUAAUACGGAGGGUGCGAGCGUUAAUCGGAAUUACUGGGCGUAAAGCGCUCGUAGGCGGUAUGUCAAGUCAAGGGUGAAAUCCCCGCGCUCAACGUGGGAACUGCCUUUGAAACUGGCAAACUGGAGUGUGUGAGAGGAUAGUGGAAUUCCAGGUGUAGGAGUGAAAUCCGUAGAUAUCUGGAGGAACAUCAGUGGCGAAGGCGACUAUCUGGCACAUAACUGACGCUGAGGAGCGAAAGCGUGGGUAGCAAACAGGAUUAGAUACCCCAGUAGUC
rnacentral:rRNA from 1 species